AGUUAACGUUGGCGGCGUGCCUAACACAUGCAAGUCGAACGCGUUCCGGGGGCAACUCCGGGAUGAGUGGCGAACGGGUGAGUAACACGUGGGUCAUCUUCCUUCAAGUGGGGAAUAAGCUCUCGAAAGGGAGUCUAAUACCGCAUGACGUGCCGGGACACAAGUCCCGUCAUUAAAGCCGCAAGGCGCUUGAAGAUGAGCCUGCGUCCUAUUAGCUAGUUGGUAGGGUAAUGGCCUACCAAGGCUCAGAUGGGUAGCCGGCCUGAGAGGGUGAACGGCCACACUGGGACUGAGACACGGCCCAGACUCCUACGGGAGGCAG
rnacentral:rRNA from 1 species